rnacentral:other from 1 species
GCGGUGCUGCCCGGUUCGUGUGGGCGCAUAUCCCCGGGGCCUUAUGAUCCUGAAGGGAGCCGACGCUGGUUGGAACCGUGGUUCCUCUCAUUUGGCGCCCACCUAGCUUACUAGGUUUCCCGGGAUCAGCUUAACCCCACGGCCAUGGCGGCCCGCA